rnacentral:rRNA from 1 species
UACGAAGGGUCCAAGCGUUAUCCGGAUUUAUUGGGUUUAAAGGGUGCGUAGGCGGCUUAUUAAGUCAGUGGUGAAAGCCUUCAGCUCAACUGAAGAACUGCCAUUGAUACUGAUGAGCUUGAGUAUAUUUGAGGCCGGCGGAAUGUGUCAUGUAGCGGUGAAAUGCUUAGAUAUGACACAGAACACCGAUUGCGAAGGCAGCUGGCUAAACUAUAACUGACGCUGAUGCACGAAAGCGUGGGGAGCAAACAGG